GAGGCUGGGUGGGCCCCAGAGCUGGUCUGGAUGUGCCUAGUGUAUAUUCCACAAAAGUAGGAACUAUAAACUACAAUUUACAAAUACAACUUUAUAUAAAAUUCUGUUCCACAGAGAAGACUUAACACUUGUAAAUUUUGCUAAUAAUUACAAGUGAUGUCACCAGAGUACAUAAUGUAUCCUAGAGUGGACCUGAGAAACUAUAGAACGGCAUUGUGAAUGACUCCUCCAUUGGAACGAACUUGAGUGAACUAUUAGCACUCAUUGCAGGUAUUUGCUCUUCCAGCAGAUCCUAUGGUGAAAACCGUGGGCGGCCAGGCGCAGCAGGUAGUUCAAUUUCGUUCAUUCCCAACUGAUUAUGGCUUCAGUACAAUAGAACUCCCACCACAAUCGGCCACUAUAUAUUCGUCCAUUUUGUCACCUCUUAGUUAGCUGUCUUGAAAGCGUCUGCAGAUGGUGGCAAUAAUUGGUUUCUCAGCUUUUUGUUUAGGAAGGGGUCCAUUGCCAUUUGUGAUUUCCAUGGUGUAAGCAAGCUAGAGCAAUGCAAACCUUAAUAGAGUACCCUCAGGAAGCACAUCGCCUUCAUGUUCUCAAGUAUCACAAUGUCGUUUACCAUCAAGUAAUUUCAGAUCUGAUCCAGGCCACAUGUCAGUCCCUAAGUUUUAUCUUGGUCAAUAUUUUCUCCAGCUCUGGUUGCCCAGCACGCAGAAAUUUGAUAUAUAUUCCUUGACAUUUUCCUUCAUCCUGUAUUGUUGACCAAAACACAAUAUUUUGAAAAUGCUCUGGUUCUGUCAUCAAGCAAAGGUGUAAGAUCUAAUGUGUUUGGUUAAUUGCAAGGAGCUAGUUCCAAUUCCCAGACAAAGAACAAUAGUUCUAGUCAAGGUAAAUAAACUGCAAAAAGCAAGAUCAAUUCUAACAAAUAAGAAAAGAAAUGACCUAAAAAUUAUAGUUCAAUCUUAUGGCUAGGUGAUAUCAACAUUACUACACUACUGCAUUACAACAAACAAUGAAGCAAAACUAUAAAAUAGUUAAGACCAGAACAAAAAAUUGUGAAAAAAUUUCAAGAAAGAACUAUGAAGAAAAACAAUCACACAAUAAAUUAUUACAAUAUGAUAAGAUAUCAAUGAAAUAGAAUUCAUUUAGUGGACCAAUGUGAACAUUAGUUCAAAAAAUCUCCUAAACUUACAUAAUCUUUGCAUGGUAUUACUUAUUUCCACUUUCAUAGUGAAUGAAGAAUGUUUUUUUUUUUUCAAAAAGGACCAUCAUCAGUUUAUACUGAUUACGAAGUUGUGGACAACCUACACAGGGUAGCCCUCCAGCUUGUAUGUUGGUGAGGCACAAACAACACUUCACCAUAAAAUACCAGCAUCUUAUGAAAUGUGAUGCUGGGCUUCAGACUUAUAUGGAUUCUUUGGAGAAAUAGACAUGAAAUUUGGAACUUGGAAUGGAGCAGAUCUGACUGCCCAACUGAAAACCCAGGGAAAUGUGGAGUUAGCAGCUGGCAGCAACUAAAGUGACCACUUAGAUGCAAUGAUAACUGGGUUAAAACAAAAAUUUUAUCUCGCCAAAAAAUUCAAAAUAAACUUGUACUUCUGAUGGAAAGAGAGACUGCUCACACCUUCAUAGGUAUGCCAUGACCAUAAAGUAUACUUUUGUGUGAUUUUUUGGAGGGGCUGAUUGUGAUAUUAAUCAGCACUUGUUUUGUGGUUGCCAGAGUUAAGGAGAGACUGUUGGUAAUGCAGAAUUUUGAAUGGAGAGAUUUAAUGUAAAGAAGCAAACAGAUUUCAGCUUUGGAAAACUUGGAUUAUAAAGUGGAAUCAAUAGAAUUUGGGGAACUAUUAGAGAUAACAUCAACACUUAGGCAAAAUGUACACUACAUUAGUGAAGGUCAACCACCGACAUGCUGAAAGCAUUGUUAGGCAUGCAAUAUUCUGAUAAAGAACUAAUUUAGUAAUAAAAUAUUAACUUAUGUAUUAAUAUAAGCAGAUGGGAAAUUAUAUUUAUGUUUGUGUAUCUGGUAACUACUGUACAAAUUCCUAAAAGCUAUCACUACCUUGAUAACAAUCACACAGCUGCACAACAGACUGAAAGUAAGGAGUGAUACCACCUACAAGUUUGUUUUUGUCACAGUAUAACUAGCCAAGCUCCUUGCUGAUUUCAUACUGCAGACCAGGUUCAAAUCCCAGUGGGAUGUACCACAGGAAGUCAGCUUACAUGCCCAUUUGUAUCCAUAGCCAGUCACAGAUGUUGAUUUUCAAGUC